rnacentral:rRNA from 1 species
AUUGAACGCUGGCGGCAGGCCUAACACAUGCAAGUCGGACGGUAGCACAGAGGAGCUUGCUCCUCGGGUGACGAGUGGCGGACGGGUGAGUAAUGUCUGGGGAUCUGCCCGAUAGAGGGGGAUAACCACUGGAAACGGUGGCUAAUACCGCAUAACGUCGCAAGACCAAAGAGGGGGACCUUCGGGCCUCUCACUAUCGGAUGAACCCAGAUGGGAUUAGCUAGUAGGCGGGGUAACGGCCCACCUAGGCGACGAUCCCUAGCUGGUCUGAGAGGAUGACAAGCCACACUGGAACUGGGACACGGUCCAGACUCCUACGGGAGGCAGCAGUCGGGAAUAUUGCACAAUGGGCGCAAGCCUGAUGCAGCCAUGCCGCGUGUAUGAAGAAGGCCUUCGGGUUGUAAAGUACUUUCAGCGGGGAGGAAGGCGAUGUGGUUAAUAACCGCGUCGAUUGACGUUACCCGCAGAAGAAGCACCGGCUAACUCCGUGCCAGCCGCCGCGGUAA